GACGAACGCUGGCGGCGUGCUUAACACAUGCAAGUCGAACGGUGAAGCGCCUUCCUUUUUGGUGGGUGUGGAUGAGUGGCGAACGGGUGAGUAACACGUGAGUAACCUGCCCCCUUCUUCUGGAUAACCGCAUGAAAGUGUGGCUAAUACGGGAUAUUCUGGGUCUGUCGCAUGAUGGGUCUGGGAAAGAUAUUGUUUCGGUGGGGGAUGGGCUCGCGGCCUAUCAGCUUGUUGGUGGGGUGAUGGCCUACCAAGGCGGUGACGGGUAGCCGGCCUGAGAGGGUGGACGGUCACACUGGGACUGAGACACGGCCCAGACUCCUACGGGAGGCAGCAGUGGGGAAUAUUGCACAAUGGGCGCAAGCCUGAUGCAGCGACGCCGCGUGAGGGGUGGAGGCCUGCGGGUUGUGAACCUCUUUCGCCAGUGAAGCAGGCCUGCCUCGUUUGUGGGUGGGUUGACGGUAGCUGGAGAAGAAGCGCCGGCUAACUACGUG
rnacentral:rRNA from 1 species